GGGUUAAAUAGAUUAGGUGAUUUACUACACAUGCAGUCGAGCGGAUGAGGGAGCUUGCUCCUGGAUUCAGCGGCGGACGGGUGAGUAAUGCCUAGGAAUCUGCCUGGUAGUGGGGGAUAACGUCCGGAAACGGGCGCUAAUACCGCAUACGUCCUGAGGGAGAAAGUGGGGGAUCUUCGGACCUCACGCUAUCAGAUGAGCCUAGGUCGGAUUAGCUAGUUGGUGGGGUAAAGGCCUACCAAGGCGACGAUCCGUAACUGGUCUGAGAGGAUGAUCAGUCACACUGGAACUGAGACACGGUCCAGACUAAUACGGGAGGCAGCAGUGGGGAAUAUUGGACAAUGGGCGAAAGCCUGAUCCAGCCAUGCCGCGUGUGUGAAGAAGGUCUUCGGAUUGUAAAGCACUUUAAGUUGGGAGGAAGGGCAGUAAGUUAAUACCUUGCUGUUUUGACGUUACCAACAGAAUAAGCACCGGCUAACUUCGUGCCAGCAGCCGCGGUAAUACGAAGGGUGCAAGCGUUAAUCGGAAUUACUGGGCGUAAAGCGCGCGUAGGUGGUUCAGCAAGUUGGAUGUGAAAUCCCCGGGCUCAACCUGGGAACUGCAUCCAAAACUACUGAGCUAGAGUACGGUAGAGGGUGGUGGAAUUUCCUGUGUAGCGGUGAAAUGCGUAGAUAUAGGAAGGAACACCAGUGGCGAAGGCGACCACCUGGACUGAUACUGACACUGAGGUGCGAAAGCGUGGGGAGCAAACAGGAUUAGAUACCCUGGUAGUCCACGCCGUAAACGAUGUCGACUAGCCGUUGGGAUCCUUGAGAUCUUAGUGGCGCAGCUAACGCGAUAGUCGACCGCCUGGGAGUACGGCCGCAAGUUAAACUCAAAUGAAUGACGGGGCCCGCACAAGCGUGGAGCAUGUGUUUAAUUCGAAGCAACGCGAAGAACCUUACCUGCCUUGACAUGCUGAGAACUUUCCAGAAGAUGGAUGUGCUUCGGGAGCUCAGACACAGGUGCUGCAUGCUGUCGUCAGCUCGUGUCGUGAGAUGUUGGUAGUCCGGUACCGAGCGCAACCUGUCUAGUACAGCACCUCGGGUGGCACUCUAGGAGACUGCGGUGACAACCGAGGAGUGGGAUAGACUCAAGUCAUCAUGCUAACGGCCAGCUACCAGGUCUAAAUGUUCGUACAAGGGGUUGCAAAGUCUCCUGAGAGUGAGACUUA
rnacentral:rRNA from 1 species